rnacentral:rRNA from 1 species
GAGUUUGAUCAUGGCUCAGAUUGAACGCUGGCGGAAUGCUUUACACAUGCAAGUCGAACGCUCUUUGCCUCUUCGGGGGCAAAGGGAGUGGCGAACGGGUGCGUAACACGUGAGCAACCUACCUCCUGGUGGGGGAUAACCUCGGGAAACCGGGGCUAAUACCGCAUACGGUCUUCGGGUCACCUGGCCUGGAGAGGAAAGGUGCUGCAAGGCAGUGCCGGGAGAGGGGCUCGCGGCGUAUCAGCUAGCUGGUGAGGUAACGGCUCACCAGGGCGAUGACGCGUAGGGGGUCUGAGAGGAUGGCCCCCCACAUUGGGACUGAGAUACGGCCCAGACUCCUACGGGAGGCAGCAGUGGGGAAUCUUGCGCAAUGGCCGAAAGGCUGACGCAGCGACGCCGCGUGCGGGAGGACGCC